rnacentral:rRNA from 1 species
GACGAACGCUGGCGGCGUGCCUAAUACAUGCAAGUAGAACGCACAGUUUAUACCGUAGCUUGCUACACCAUAGACUGUGAGUUGCGAACGGGUGAGUAACGCGUAGGUAACCUGCCCGGUAGCGGGGGAUAACUAUUGGAAACGAUAGCUAAUACCGCAUAAUAUUAAUUAUUGCAUGAUAAUUAAUUGAAAGGUGCAAUUGCACCACUACCAGAUGGACCUGCGUUGUAUUAGCUAGUAGGUGAGGUAACGGCUCACCUAGGCGACGAUACAUAGCCGACCUGAGAGGGUGAUCGGCCACACUGGGACUGAGACACGGCCCAGACUCCUACGGGAGGCAGCAGUAGGGAAUCUUCGGCAAUGGACGAAAGUCUGACCGAGCAACGCCGCGUGAGUGAAGAAGGGUUUCGGAUCGUAAAGCUCUGUUGUAAGAGAAGAACGGGUGUGAGAGUGGAAAGUUCACACUGUGACGGUAUCUUACCAGAAAGGGACGGCUAACUACGUG